CAGACAGAGGAGAGGCAGUUAUAGGCUGAUGCUCAGUGGAGCCAUUUGUCUGGUUAAUUCCAAUAACAAACGAGACUCUGGCACGUUAACUAGUUAUGCGACUCCCAAGCGGUUGGCGUCCAACUUCUUAGAGGGACAAGUGGCGUUCAGCCACCAGAGAUUGAGCAAUAGGUCUGUGAUGCCCUUAGAU
rfam:Chelonia mydas contig240648, whole genome shotgun sequence.